UAGUUUUCGCCGAUGUGAACGCUGACCAAGCCGAACUGAAGAUUGACAAGGCAGAUGUAAAGCCGUCAGUGGCUGAUACAUCUGAUGGUACUCUUCCUGUUGCUAUGCCAAAUUCUUUGAUGACAGUUGAAACUAAGCCGUUGCUUUAUGUCACACUCAGCAAUGACCUAUCGCAGUUUAUGAUAGAGCUUGCACCAGACAACAAUGCCAGUAAAAGCAGUGCAAUGAAAUGAAAGUUACCGGGCCACAUCAAUCCUCAAGAUUAUAAGAUUAUACCUAAGCGGCUGAGCUGUUUUAAUAUUUCUGUUUCAUUCUAAUAUAUAAUGAACCAUAGGUCAAUAAACUGUUUAUGAUUUUUGA